rnacentral:lncRNA from 1 species
CAGAUAUUUAACCUUUGAUCUGUGAGCUGUCUGCUUAGGAACAAAAGGAAAGGCAGCUUCUUGCAUGACUCAGCUUUCAGCUUAAGCAGAGUGAACUGGGGUCCCAAGUUUUUACUUCCUUUUCACUAGACACACACACACACAGUAUGUUUACAUAAACCCACACGUGUAUAUGUGUGUGGAAAGAUGUGCGUUUGUGUGCACGCACAUGUGUGUAAAGGCAACAUGCAGGCCAGAUAAAGCACAUCUGCAAGGUAGAUUUGUCCUUCAGGUAAUUAAUUUGGUCCGUUUUAAACUGUUUCUUUUUCAUCACUCUCUUAUCUGUAGUGACUGGCACUGUGCUCUAUGCCUCCAUCAAAUGUUAUCUGAAAUCACUGCCAAUGGAAAUGAAAAGGUUCUGCCAAUACAUCAUGUGUUUCGCUGUGCUGCCUCCUCUUUCUCAUGUGACCAACACAUCUGA